AUUGAACGCUGGCGGCAUGCUUUACACAUGCAAGUCGAACGGCAGCGCGGGCUUCGGCCUGGCGGCGAGUGGCGAACGGGUGAGUAAUGCAUCGGAACGUGCCCAGUAGUGGGGGAUAGCCCGGCGAAAGCCGGAUUAAUACCGCAUACGACCUGAGGGUGAAAGCGGGGGACCGAAAGGCCUCGCGCUAUUGGAGCGGCCGAUGUGGGAUUAGCUAGUUGGUGGGGUAAAGGCUUACCAAGGCGACGAUCCGUAGCUGGUCUGAGAGGACGACCAGCCACACUGGGACUGAGACACGGCCCAGACUCCUACGGGAGGCAGCAGUGGGGAAUUUUGGACAAUGGGGGCAACCCUGAUCCAGCCAUGCCGCGUGCGGGAAGAAGGCCUUCGGGUUGUAAAACGCUUUUGUUCGGGAAGAAAUCCUCUGGGCUAAUACCCCGGGGGGAUGACGGUACCGGAAGAAUAAGCACCGGCUAACUACGUG
rnacentral:rRNA from 1 species